GUGCUCGCUUUGUCAGCACAUAUACUAAAACUGGAACGAUACAGAGGAGAUUAGCACAUUCCCUGCGCAAGGAUGACACGCAAAUUUGUGAAGCAUUCCCUAUUUUU